GGUGGGUCAUGUGCUCCCAGCAGGAAGAGGCUGGAUGUAGAAGCUCCCUAAGUGAUAAGCCAGGUAGUACCUGGGCCAGAAAGCGAUGCUGUGGGGUGUCCCCAGCGGGAGGCUCUGGGGAAUUCAUAAGUAUUUGACCACCUGCCACACCCAGAGGGCUCGAAAGCCAGGAGCCCCCCAGUUUCUUGAAGAAAACAAACUGCACAACGUGGAGCAUGGUUGGAGACAGAAUGUAGGGGCCAGUUUUCCAGGAAAAGCUAAUAGGCCCUGGGGCAUAAGACAGCCCUGCAGAACCUCGUCAUAGCCCCUCUCAAGUAGGGCACUCGAAUUAAUGAACGAACGAACGAACGAAUGAGGCGAAGUCCUUCUCCCAAGUCCUCUCUCUCCAAGGCGGGUUCGCUUCUCAAUGUUCUGGAAUCUCAGCCCAGCCAGGAGGCCGGGUAGGGAGGCCCCUGCGCUCUCAAACUCCAAAACCGCAGCGGCGGAGGAAGCCGUCCGGCGCCCGCCGCUCAGCGGGCCCGGGCAGGGUCAGCUCGGGUCCGGGGUCGCGA
rnacentral:lncRNA from 1 species